rnacentral:SRP_RNA from 10 species
GCCAGGCAAGUGGCAUGUGCCUGUAGUCCCAGAUACUUGGGAGGCUGAGGCAGGAGGAUCACUUAAGCCCAGGACUUCUGGGCUCUAGUGCACUAUGCCGAUCGGAUGUCUGCACUAAGUUCAGCAUCAGUAUGGUGACCUCCCGGGAAUGGGUCACCACCAGGUUGCCUAAGGAGGGAUGAACUGGCCCAGGUCAGAAACAGAGCAGGUCAAAACUCGAGUGUUGAUCAGUAGUAGGAUCACACCUGUGAAUAGCCACUGCACUCCAGCCUGGGCAACAUAGCAAGACCCCAUCU